rnacentral:lncRNA from 1 species
UGAAAUUUUAUGGGAUGCCUAGAUAAUGUGGUUUUACCAUUAUAUCUGAGAGAUGGAAAGCCCCAAGAAUGUGGUUUUUUUUCCGGGACAGGAUGUGCGCAACAUUUAUAGGAUCUGGAAAAACUAAUAUUGUCACUCACCAAUAUAGAAGUUACUGACACAGGUCAUAGAUCCCAACUAGAUUAUUAGAAUUUUAUUCUGCUAUGCAACCUUCUGAGUGUGUCUUCAUACUGUUGAAAUAUAGUUAGUUAUACUCAUUUAGAGUUAGUUAGUGCACUAGUUGAGUCACUAUAUAAGUCAUUAGUUGACUCUUUUGUAUCUCUCUUUUCACUUUUAUAUCAUUUCAACUAUUAUCAAUACAAUAACUUUCUAAGCUUUUUCUCUCCAUUUUCAUGGAUGCCAUGUUUCUCAACACAUACAUUGGUGGUUUGAAUGUUUGUUUGACUCUUGUAUGGAACAAAAUUAUGAGGCUGAGUUUCCUGAAGUCGUAAGUUUGAACAUACAUGGUAUAAGAGAACUAGGAUUUAUCUAACACACAAGAACAUGACAUGUAUGUGAAUUGAUAACCGCUAACCCACUGUGUCGACCUUUCCCCGUAAAAAAAAUUGUGUAUGUGUCUGGAAAUGAAUUCUCUAAAUUCACAACCCUAAAUUUAGUCAAUUUUUUGGGUUUUUUAGGUCAUCACCACACCCAACACAAUCUCCUUACAAUCUCUCUCUUAACUUAUAUAUAUUCUUGAGCUGUAAGAGUCUGCAGAAAUCUCGGAAGGUAUUUUGAAUAAAAAGAAGUCACUCAAAUUGUUUGAUCGUGUAGUGUAGAGUUGUAAAAUUUGAUGAAGUUAAAAGGAGUCAAACUUGUGCCUUAUAUAGUAUGAGUCAAUUCUUACCAAGUUAAUCUACCUCUUAUCUUGAAAUGUGAUUUUAUGUGAUCUUGAUUACACUAAGUUUCUACAUCGACCUAAUCACAUAUUGAUCUACAUUUGCUUUAACGUCAAGAAAACUGAAUACUCCAUCAUCAAAGAACACUGAAUACUUGUGCUUAAUUUUUUACUGAUUGGUGGGAUUUUCAGUAGCAGCAUAGUGAAGAUGUCACAGCUUAUGCUUUUGCAUGCUCUUCUCCUGAUCCAGAAAAACAAAAAUUAUGAGUAUUUUGUAGUAUCAUCUUAACCCAAUCGUACUAAUAUUAAAGAGAUAACACCAUGCUGACCAAAAAAAAAAAAAAGAAAGAGAUAACUCCCGGUCGUACUAUUAUUAUAAUCAAAUCAUGGGGCAUAAGCCCCUUUCGCCAAGACAAAAAAUGCUUCACGAAUAAUGGCGGUGACAGAUAAAGCUACGUGACACGUUAAGUCUAAAAUGCACCCAAUUUCAAUACCUUUGAUUUGUUGCUAUCUAUUCUAAGUUGUUAACUUUUAGAUUCCGACUCUGAAAAAGAAAAGAAAAAAUGAACCGUUGGUUAUUUAAACAAUAUUUCUAUCAAGUUAUAAGGUGUUAUUUUUUAGGGUAAGUUGUAAGGUCUUUUUUCCCUUAGAAUCAGAAGGUCGAGAUAAAUAAUAGUAAUAGGUUUUCCAACCUCAAGUUUGUCACACUACCUUUUAAGAUAUUGUUUACGUUUUUACCAAUUAUCAUGUAUGGUUUAGACCUUAUUUUCAAAGACAAUGUCAAUGUUUUGUCCUACCUUUCGAAGUAUUAUCUUUUUUGAAUGUAAGUCUUUUACGAUUUUGUCAUUUAUAAUAGAUUUCGUGUUAGAUUGAAAAACGUGAAUAUUAUUUAUAAACUACC